GAAGGGGGAAGUCGAGCCGAGUUCCGCACCAGGCGAACUGUCGACAGCGGCCGAGGCGACUCUCUCGGUUCGGGUUAGCAGCGCGGCUAACCUGUGCGAGCUAACUGACCGAGUCACCAUCUGGUUCACCGCUCUCGGCUUGCCUUUUCCCCUCCUGCUUUUCUUCAUCUCACUGGCUUCUCUCCAGGCGGGCUGGCUUCCACCUGAGCUGCUCAGGCUACAUCCACACCACUACAUUUCAGUUCUAAAACUCAACUCCGGAGUUUUUGAACACCUAAAACAGAGAAAUUUGGAAACGCUGCUUGCUCAGUCAUGCCUGUUCAUUGUGUUUUCCCCUGUCUGAGCUGCUCUGCUUUAACUGUUUGAAAAAUAACUUAGUAGUAAUAAAAGGUUUAUUGUGGCAGGUUGGAUUUAACCCUUCCCCGGGGUACCCUGCACACAUUUGCUUGGCGCCACCCGUGUAUUGUGUUGGUGAAGUUUCUUCUAGUUAUGUUUCAUUGAUUUCAUUAAUUUGGCACAACCACAUUGUCCCAUCCUCUCCCACAUUUUGAGAACAUUUACGUAAUUUGUUUAAAUAAGUUGACAAUAAGUUAAUAAUAAGUUUCCUUUGAUAUUGCUGUUUGUUGUCUUCCGCCAAGACACACAAAAGGGAUGAAACACACUGUGACAGUGUUUGUACCUGCUCUGCUGCAUCAGGCGGCGGUCGGCAAGGGCCCACAUGAUCCUCAAGGUGAAGACCACAAUGAUGAUGAGGGGAAGAAAGAACUCGGUGAUGGUGAGAAAGAGGAGCUUUGAGAGGCAGCAGCCAGUGGGCUGGAAAGCAGUGGAGAGGAUGGAGUAGGUGACCACGAUGGCGAGCAGCCACACCGAGACGCACACACAUUUGGCCACACUGGAGUUCCUCCAACGACGGGAAGCUUCAACCUGCAAGGACAUAAGUAUGCAGCCACUGUGGAGGACAACUUACCUCUAAAAAAUGGGAGACAAGUGGAACCAGUAGAUGAACCCUGGUCUUCUAAAAACCUGAGUCUGUUGAAGUUAGAGUGUCCUUAUCGUCCGUCCUCAACCACAUAUCC